rnacentral:tRNA from 1 species
GUUUUAAUAGUUUAUAAAAAACUUUGGUCUUGUAAACCAACAAUGAAUCAAUUUGUUCUUAAAACU